UUAGUUGGAUUAGUUGGAGGAGCUAAUCUAAGACUUCGGAAGGGUAAUGAAAGAAAUGCCAAACGCUCUUCCAGCUAUCCACCUGCUCUAAUCUGGAUUGGUUGGAUUAGAUGAAAGAAAAGAACACUUGGAAUUGUUGUUACUCUCUCACACUAGAAGUUGCUGUUUGUCAUAAGUUUAUGUCUAAUACCAUGUUUGCACCAAAUACUUUGCCAACUAUCGUUAGGCUAAUUAUGAUUAGAGCGCUGUUAGGGUAGUGAGUUCACACCAACUAAUCGUCAUUAGACGGACGUGGUGAUAAGCUGUAGCAUGGGCUUUUACAUACUUUAAUCCGGAAAGUUUCCGAUGGGCCAUUAGUCGUUGGAGACAUUUGAAUUGCCGCACGUGUCUCCUGUGGUUUGCAUAUCUCUGACGGUGAAGCUGUGUUACCAACAUUAGCCACAUGCACAUGCAACUGUUUUGUGCCACCAGUAAUGCUGCUAAUGCCGUUUUAAUGCAGGAAUGUCAUUGUCAUGGAGAUGGGGCCACAUGCAGCCAACAAAAAUGUGGCCCCAGGAGCAAAGCAUGUUAUAACUGUUAAUAAUUAAUAUUUUCUGUUAUACAAUAUAAACUAUUUUGAAUACAACAUAUGAAUAUAUGAAUUUAACGAAGAAGUAUUCUCGCAAUAGGCUUGGUCGAUGCACAAUAAACGCCGCUGUGGCAAUAGAUUCAGACUAUAGAAGAGUUGACAUUUCCUUUUGAAACAUUGCUGAAUAAGUAAUGUAUUUUACUGUUACUUAUUAUUAAAUAGAAAAUUGAUGAAACUGUUAUUGAUAUUAAAUGACAUUCUUAAAAUUAAUAUUAGUAGUAGUGGCACCGAGAACGUUAUAUUGGGGCCACAUUUUUGGCACCAAGCAAAAUUUGACUGGCAUUCUUGUAAUGCAGCAUUAGAAUGGCGUUACGCUACUCAUGAUCAGACCAGUGUGAACAAGUGGCGUUAGUGCACUAAUGCCAAAGUAAUCAUGAUUAGGGCGGGGUGCGAAUACUCUCUAAGAAGCAGAUGUGUGGCUUCUUUGUACAUUUGUGAACUGCUGAGCAGUAGUUCCAUGUUGGUUGUGACAGACUCUCCAAACUAAGUGUCUUUUUGAUUUGGCUGCAAGAGUGUGCAUGUUGUGUUCUGAAUGAUAGUAGAUGUGUACAUUUGCAGGAGGAAGAAUGUCCUUAUGAAACGUGCAGGUUUGGAUCAGAAGUACUUGAGCUAGAUAGUUGGACCAGAAUAAAACAAUAUGGAGCAUUUCGCGAAGCCCUUGGUUCAGGAGUUAACCUUCAUUUGCAGGAAAACUUGUUGCUGAGGGAAGUGUUUGGCUUAGGACCACCAGCGACAGGACAGCUAGUGCAAAAGUUGUCAAAGAGAGAACGACGUUAUGUGAAUGCUAUGGUUGAUAAGGCGCGAACUCAAGCUCGGUCAAAAAGCAGAGACAAACGGACAGUGUGAUGUACAGCCAUUGUUUUGAUGAGGUUGUUCAUAUUUAUUAGAAAUGCAGUAACAUAAAUGACAUUGAACUACAGGGUGCUGUCAUUUCAUGACCCGAGUGUUGUAUUUAUAUAGUACAUUUAUUAUUUUCAUUGAUAUUUUGAUGUGCA